rnacentral:rRNA from 1 species
AGUGAACGCUGGCGGCAGGCCUAACACAUGCAAGUCGAGCGGCAGCGCGUCCGACCACCCUCGGGUGGUCGGAUGGCGGCGAGCGGCGGACGGGUGAGGAAUGCAUCGGAAUCUGCCUCGUUGUGGGGGAUAACGUAGGGAAACUUACGCUAAUACCGCAUACGACCUACGGGUGAAAGUGGGGGACCUUCGGGCCUCACGCGAUGAGAUGAGCCGAUGCCGGAUUAGCUAGUUGGCGGGGUAAAGGCCCACCAAGGCGACGAUCCGUAGCUGGUCUGAGAGGAUGAUCAGCCACACUGGAACUGAGACACGGUCCAGACUCCUACGGGAGGCAGCAGUGGGGAAUAUUGGACAAUGGGGGCAACCCUGAUCCAGCCAUGCCGCGUGUGUGAAGAAGGCCUUCGGUUGUAAG